rnacentral:pre_miRNA from 1 species
ACGAAUCGUCUGAUCAAACUUCUGUGCCCUAUUGAAAACUAGAAGUUUGAUAUGAGAUUCGACC